ACUCCUACGGGAGGCAGCAGUGAGGAAUAUUGGACAAUGGNGGCAANCCUGAUCCAGCCAUGCCGCGUGCAGGAAGACGGUCCUAUGGAUUGUAAACUGCUUUUNUACAGGAAGAAACACUCCCUCGUGAGGGAGCUUGACGGUACUGUAGANAAGNACGGCUAACUCC
rnacentral:rRNA from 1 species